GACGAACGCUGGCGGCGUGCUUAACACAUGCAAGUCGAACGGAAAGGCCCUGCUUUUGUGGGGUGCUCGAGUGGCGAACGGGUGAGUAACACGUGAGUAACCUGCCCUUGACUUUGGGAUAACUUCAGGAAACUGGGGCUCAUACCGGAUAGGAGCUCCUGCUGCAUGGUGGGGGUUGGAAAGUUUCGGCGGUUGGGGAUGGACUCGCGGGUUACCCUCUUGUUGGUGGGGUAGUGGCUUACCAAGGCUUUGACGGGUAGCCCGCCUGAGAGGGUGACCGGCCACAUUGGGACUGAGAUACGGCCCAGACUCCUACGGGAGGCAGCAGUGGGGAAUAUUGCGCAAUGGGCGGAAGCCUGAUGCAGCAACGCCGCGUGCGGGAUGACGGCCUUCGGGUUGUAAACCGCUUUCGCCUGUGACGAAGCGUGAGUGACGGUAAUGGGUAAAGAAGCACCGGCUAACUACGUG
rnacentral:rRNA from 1 species